UAGUUGCCAUCAUUUAGUUGGGCACUCUAGCGAGACUGCCGGUGACAAACCGGAGGAAGGUGGGGAUGACGUCAAAUCAUCAUGCCCCUUAUGACCUGGGCUACACACGUGCUACAAUGGGAAGUACAACGAGUUGCGAAGUCGCGAGGCUAAGCUAAUCUCUUAAAGCUUCUCUCAGUUCGGAUUGUAGGCUGCAACUCGCCUACAUGAAGCCGGAAUCGCUAGUAAUCGCGGAUCAGCACGCCGCGGUGAAUACGUUCCCGGGCCUUGUACACACCGCCCGUCACACCACGAGAGUUUGUAACACCCGAAGUCGGUGAGGUAACCUUUUUGGAGCCAGCCGCCUAAGGUGGGAUAGAUGAUUGGGGUGAAGUCGUAACAAGGUAGCCGUAUCGGAAGGUGCGGCUGGAUCACCUCCUUUCUAAGGAA
rnacentral:rRNA from 1 species